AUUGAACGCUGGCGGAAUGCUUUACACAUGCAAGUCGAACGGCAGCACGGACUUCGGUCUGGUGGCGAGUGGCGAACGGGUGAGUAAUGUAUCGGAACGUGCCCAGUCGUGGGGGAUAACGUAGUGAAAAUUACGCUAAUACCGCAUACGAUCUAUGGAUGAAAGCGGGGGAUCGCAAGACCUCGCGCGAUUGGAGCGGCCGAUAUCAGAUUAGGUAGUUGGUGGGGUAAAGGCCCACCAAGCCAACGAUCUGUAGCUGGUCUGAGAGGACGACCAGCCACACUGGAACUGAGACACGGUCCAGACUCCUACGGGAGGCAGCAGUAGGGAAUUUUGGACAAUGGGCGAAAGCCUGAUCCAGCCAUUCCGCGUGCAGGAUGAAGGCCCUCGGGUUGUAAACUGCUUUUGUACAGAACGAAAAGGUUUCUACUAAUACUAGGAGCUCAUGACGGUACCGUAGAAUAAGCACCGGCUAACUACGUGCCAGCCGCCGCCGUAA
rnacentral:rRNA from 1 species